rnacentral:rRNA from 1 species
UACGUAGGGUGCAAGCGUUGUCCGGAAUUAUUGGGCGUAAAGAGCUCGUAGGCGGCCUGUCGCGUCGGCUGUGAAAACCCGGGGCUCAACCCCGGGCCUGCAGUCGAUACGGGCAGGCUAGAGUCCGGUAGGGGAGACUGGAAUUCCGGGUGUAGUGGUGAAAUGCGUAGAGAUCCGGAGGAACACCAGUGGCGAAGGCGACACGCUGGGCCGUACCUGACACUGAUACGCGACAGCAUGGGGAGCGAACGGG